rnacentral:ncRNA from 2 species
UUUAACCGGACUGCCGAGGGUUUCACUUCUCGGCAGCCAUUCGCCAGGUCAGGAAAGCCGGUGGGAAUCCGGCGCUGCCCCGCAACUGUAAGCGGAACGAAAUCCGCGUAACGCCACUGGUCUCUUAAGGACCGGGAAGGCGCGGAGAGUAGGCAUGAGCCGCGAGCCAGGAUAUUUGACCGGCGGAUGAAGACACCC